UUCAAUUAAUAUAUUUUAUUCCAUACUUAUAAAUAUUUAUGGCCAAAAAUAAUAAAUUUUGAUUGCCUCUAGCGGUCCUCUUUUAAAAGACCAAUAUUCACAAAAUAACUCCCACACUUCUUUCAAUUUGGAUCGACUAAACUACUGAAAGUACCAAUAAAAGAUGUAUUCGUUGACAAGAGUAUCUAUGAAUUUAGAAAACAACCCAAAUGCCCAUAGAAGAUCGAUCCUGUAUAUGAAACUAACCAAAUGUGAUCCAGCCUUAACUCAGCGGCUUACGUGGACAAUUUUGAUACACAGUAUCACGUGUUGUUAAUCUGACGUGCAUUGAGUUUGAAUUGGGAAUAAUAUGAAUCCUAGUUCUUCAUUCUUCGUUGGACAUACCCCAACAUUGAAAAUGUGAAAUCCUUCCAAAAUACUUCAUUCAUCUCCAACACUCUCAUCCAUCGUUCCCUUCUCCCCCUCUCCCCACUAAACAAGAAGAUAGCUAAAACAACUUUAGCUAUGUCAAGAAGAAAAAUGACCAGGAGGGAAAGUUGCAUUUUUUCUGGAACAUCAAAUUCGAAGACGAAAAAAGGUGAAAAUCCUGGAUAGAAGAUGUUACUGUGGUGGGAAUGCUGUGUUGUUGGAUUCUUCGACAGUUGCGAACCCAGGAAGAUGAUUCAUUCGCUGCCUAUUCUGGAAGAAUGAAGACUGCAAUUGCUUUGAAUGGAUUGAUGAAAUUGAUAGUGGGUGGCAAGGUUUGACAAGGGCUUUAAUCACACGACUUAAUGAGCAUGAAUGUGGUACUUCCAAUAAGGAUUUGAAGAAUAUUGUAAGAGACAACAUUGAGAAGAAUCUGAACAAGGUUAUGAGGAUUGAAGGUGAAACUAAAGUUAUUGGGGCCUGGCUUGUGGCUCUAUCAUUAGGGCUGUUGUUGCAAUUUACAAUCUUUCUUGUUUAUAAUGGUGAUAAUAUAUAGGUGAGUGACAGUUUGAGUGUAAGAUCUAGACAUAGGUUGGGUGCAUAUUGAAGCACUAUGUGCUAGUGAACAUCAAUGUUAAUAAUGUUUGAAUGAAAAUAAAUUGUUAGCA